AGGAGCUGGAGGGCUUGCCACAUAUGCUGGAUGAAAAGCCUGGUUGGGGAUACCUGCUGUGUAGGCAGCUGCAAAAGACCUCUGAAGCAAAGGUCUGAGGAAGGGUCAGGUGGCUGCUGGAGACCCCACAGCCCUACUAUACCAUCAUCCUAGGAAAGGAGCAGCAAAGGCGGAUCCUCCAGGCCUGGCUAGAGAGGCUGCAUGAAACCAUCCAAUCAGAGCUCAGCAGCCUCAGGAAAAAAGGAGCUGCAGGGGUUUAGCUGCUCAGUUCCUGGAUAGGACUGGGGAGGAAAAACAUAAGGAUUGGUUGGAACACUGACAAAAGACCACAUCAAAACAAACCCAAGUUUCCUGUGACCCUGUUAGCCUUUUGUAACAGCUGAAUAAAGGCCAAGUGUAUUACAUCAUGAAAGUCCAGAAAGCCCCUCCAACUUCAUGCAGAAGAAAAUGCAGUAUUAAAUUAUGCAAGAGGACUUCAGGAGACCAUUUAGGCUCCAAUUUAGACCAUCUGCUUGUCAAAUGUCUUGUCAGUAUAUAUUCAUAUUAACAAAAUCUUUUUCCAUCAUGAGUGAUGGGUCUGAUGACUGAUCAAGACAAAGAAGUGCCAGUGAUACUGAUGUAUCCCCAAAGGUUCUGCCAGUGAUUAAAUACAAGUUUGAAUUUAGCUGAUGUCAGGGUUGUUGUGACUUUCCAAACCUGGAAAAUAAACACACGCACAGACACACACCUCUCCCUUUCUUCUCCCCCAAAAAGAAGAGACCACUGUGAAAAUGCACCGGUGGCUUAUGAAAUGAAUGCACAAG